UAUUGCACAAUGGGGGAAACCCUGAUGCAGCGACGCCGCGUGAGUGAGGAAGUAUUUCGGUAUGUAAAGCUCUAUCAGCAGGGAAGAAAAUGACGGUACCUGACUAAGAAGCCCCGGCUAACUACGUGCCAGCAGCCGGCGUAAUACGUAGGGGGCAAGCGUUAUCCGGAUUUACUGGGUGUAAAGGGAGCGUAGACGGCUAAUCAAGUCAGAAGUGAAAACCCAGGGCUCAACCGUGGGAGUGCUUUUGAAACUGAGUAGCUAGAGUGCAGGAGAGGUAAGCGGAAUUCCUAGUGUAGCGGUGAAAUGCGUAGAUAUUAGGAGGAACACCAGUGGCGAAGGCGGCUUACUGGACGGUAACUGACGUUGAGGCUCGAAAGCGUGGGGAGCAAACAGG
rnacentral:rRNA from 1 species